GCCGUAGCUCAAUGGUACAGCAUCUGCUUUGCAUGCAGAAGGUCCCAGGUUCAGUCCCUGACAUCUCCA
rnacentral:tRNA from 1 species